CACGCCGCCCUCAACAAGCCCGAUGUCUGAUCUCAGAAGCUAAGCAGGGUCGGGCCUGGUUAGUACUUGGAUGGGAGACCACCUAGGAAGACCAAAA
rnacentral:rRNA from 1 species